rnacentral:misc_RNA from 1 species
AAGUCGUAACAAGGUUUCCGUAGGUGAACCUGCGGAAGGAUCAUUAAACAUGUGUCUAACACAUUAUCAACCCAACGUGAACUUUUGUAAUAGCCACGUCAAGUAUGGUAAAUCUAAGUGAAAGCCGCAGUGGGCUUAGGACGGAUCUUAGGUUUGUUGUGCCCAGCUUGAUUGUGGUCCAAUCCCUACUCACCCACUUUUAUUUGAGUAGUUAUGGGGAUAUCUCUGCGGGGAUAUCUCUGGUUUAACCUUUUUUAACCCCUAACCUGAUUCAUUUCGGGUCUUUUUAUAUUGUCUAAUCGAGUAGUCCUCUGUGUAGACUCAUUUCGGUGAGGGUAUGCAUGCUACUUUUGUUUACGAAACUUGUACAACUCUUAGCAAUGGAUAUCUUGGCUUCC